AUUGAACGCUGGCGGCAGGCCUAACACAUGCAAGUCGAGCGGAGCGGCGGACGGGUGAGUAAUGCCUAGGAAUCUGCCUGGUAGUGGGGGAUAACGUCCGGAAACGGGCGCUAAUACCGCAUACUAUCAGAUGAGCCUAGGUCGGAUUAGCUAGGUGGUGGGGUAAAGGCCUACCAAGUCGACGAUCCGUAACUGGUCUGAGAGGAUGAUCCGUCACACUGGAACUGGGAACAGGUCACGGCUCCGUCGGGUGGCAGCAGUGGGGAAUAUUGGACAAUGGGGGGAAGCCUGAUCCAGCCAUGCCGCGUGUGUGAAGAAGGUCUUCGGAUUUUAAAGCACUUUAAGUUGGGAGGCGUUACCAACAGAAUAAGCACCGGCUAACUUCGUGCCAGCAGCCGCGGUAAUUC
rnacentral:rRNA from 1 species